rnacentral:rRNA from 1 species
AAAUUGAAGAGUUUGAUCAUGGCUCAGAUUGAACGCUGGCGGCAGGCCUAACACAUGCAAGUCGAGCGGUAACACAGAGAGCUUGCUCUCGGGUGACGAGCGGCGGACGGGUGGAGUAAUGUCUGGGAAACUGCCUGAUGGAGGGGGGGAUAACUACUGGAAACGGUAGCUAAUACCGCAUAACGUCGCAAGACCAAAGUGGGGGACCUUCGGGCCUCAUGCCAUCAGAUGUGCCCAGAUGGGAUUAGCUAGUAGGUGGGGUAAUGGCUCACCUAGGCGACGAUCCCUAGCUGGUCUGAGAGGAUGACCAGCCACACUGGAACUGAGACACGGUCCAGACUCCUACGGGAGGCAGCAGUGGGGAAUAUUGCACAAUGGGCGCAAGCCUGAUGCAGCCAUGCCGCGUGUAUGAAGAAGGCCUUCGGGUUGUAAAAAAUACUUUCAGCGAGGAGGAAGGCGUUAAGGUUAAUAACCUUGGCGAUUGACGUUACUCGCAGAAGAAGCACCGGCUAACUCCGUGCCAGCAGCCGCGGUAAUACGGAGGGUGCAAGCGUUAAUCGGAAUUACUGGGCGUAAAGCGCACGCAGGCGGUCUGUCAAGUCGGAUGUGAAAUCCCCGGGCUCAACCUGGGAACUGCAUUCGAAACUGGCAGGCUAGAGUCUUGUAGAGGGGGGUAGAAUUCCAGGUGUAGCGGUGAAAUGCGUAGAGAUCUGGAGGAAUACCGGUGGCGAAGGCGGCCCCCUGGACAAAGACUGACGCUCAGGUGCGAAAGCGUGGGGAGCAAACAGGAUUAGAUACCCUGGUAGUCCACGCCGUAAACGAUGUCGACUUGGAGGUUGUGCCCUUGAGGCGUGGCUUCCGGAGCUAACGCGUUAAGUCGACCGCCUGGGGAGUACGGCCGCAAGGUUAAAACUCAAAUGAAUUGACGGGGGCCCGCACAAGCGGUGGAGCAUGUGGUUUAAUUCGAUGCAACGCGAAGAACCUUACCUACUCUUGACAUCCAGAGAACUUAGCAGAGAUGCUUUGGUGCCUUCGGGAACUCUGAGACAGGUGCUGCAUGGCUGUCGUCAGCUCGUGUUGUGAAAUGUUGGGUUAAGUCCCGCAACGAGCGCAACCCUUAUCCUUUGUUGCCAGCGAUUAGGUCGGGAACUCAAAGGAGACUGCCAGUGAUAAACUGGAGGAAGGUGGGGAUGACGUCAAGUCAUCAUGGCCCUUACGAGUAGGGCUACACACGUGCUACAAUGGCAUAUACAAAGAGAAGCGACCUCGCGAGAGCAAGCGGACCUCAUAAAGUAUGUCGUAGUCCGGAUUGGAGUCUGCAACUCGACUCCAUGAAGUCGGAAUCGCUAGUAAUCGUAGAUCAGAAUGCUACGGUGAAUACGUUCCCGGGCCUUGUACACACCGCCCGUCACACCAUGGGAGUGGGUUGCAAAAGAAGUAGGUAGCUUAACCUUCGGGAGGGCGCUUACCACUUUGUGAUUCAUGACUGGGGUGAAGUCGUAACAAGGUAACCGUAGGGGAACCUGCGGUUGGAUCACCUCCUUACCUUAAAGAA